rnacentral:rRNA from 1 species
GAUGAACGCUGGCGGCGUGCUUAACACAUGCAAGUCGAACGGAAAGGCCCAAGCUUGCUUGGGUACUCGAGUGGCGAACGGGUGAGUAACACGUGGGUGAUCUGCCCUGCACUUCGGGAUAAGCCUGGGAAACUGGGUCUAAUACCGGAUAGGACGAUGGUUUGGAUGCCAUUGUGGAAAGUUUUUUCGGUGUGGGAUGAGCUCGCGGCCUAUCAGCUUGUUGGUGGGGUAAUGGCCUACCAAGGCGUCGACGGGUAGCCGGCCUGAGAGGGUGUACGGCCACAUUGGGACUGAGAUACGGCCCAGACUCCUACGGGAGGGAGCAAUGGGGAAUAUUGCACAAUGGGCGCAAGCCUGAGGCAGCGACGCCGCGUGGGGGAUGACGGCCUUCGGGUUGUAAACUCCUUUCGCUAGGGACGAAGCGUUUUUGUGACGGUACCUGGAGAAGAAGCACCGGCUAACUACGUG